CCUACGGGGAGCAGCAGUAGGGAAUCUUCCACAAUGGGCGAAAGCCUGAUGGAGCAACGCCGCGUGGGUGAAGAAGGUCUUCGGAUCGUAAAACCCUGUUGUUAGAGAAGAAAGUGUGUGAGAGUAACUGCUCACGUUUCGACGGUAUCUAACCAGAAAGCCACGGCUAACUACGUGCCAGCAGCCGCGGUAAUACGUAGGUGGCAAGCGUUAUCCGGGUUUAUUGGGCGUAAAGGAAACGCAGGCGGUCUUUUAAGUCAGAUGGGAAAGCCCUCGGCUUAACCGGGGGAGUGCAUUGGAAACUGGGAGACUUAAGUGCAGAAGAGGGGAGUGAAACUCCAUGUGUAGCGGUGAAAUGCGUAGAUGUAUGGAAGAACACCCGUGGCGAAAGCGGCUCUCUGGUCUAUAGCUGACGCUUAGGUUGGAAAGCGUUGGGUAGCAAACAGGAUUAGAUACCCCUGUAGUC
rnacentral:rRNA from 1 species